UCCAUUUAGAGGAAGUAAAAGUCGUAACAAGGUUUCCGUAGGUGAACCUGCGGAAGGAUCAUUAACGAGUUUGAAAUCGAGAGCCUGUUGCUGGUGCGGAAACGCACAUCGUGCACGGCUCCCGUGCUCAAUCCAUUUCAACCCCCUUGUGCACCUUAUCGAAGUCAGUAGUCUUUCUCUUUUUGUUUGCCGGUUGUGUGCGGGAACCUCUUUCUGUUCACUUGGCCGGCGAGGAGAAAUAGAGGGUCGAAAGCUUUGACUUUUCUGUUAAACACUUUGUAUGUCUUGUGGAACGUAUUAGCUCCUUUGUAGGGGCGAAAUAAAUACAACUUUCAACAACGGAUCUCUUGGCUCUCGCAUCGAUGAAGAACGCAGCGAAAUGCGAUAAGUAAUGUGAAUUGCAGAAUUCAGUGAAUCAUCGAAUCUUUGAACGCACCUUGCGCCCCUUGGUAUUCCGAGGGGCAUGCCUGUUUGAGUGUCAUGUUAAUCUCAAACCCCUUGUCUUUUUUGUUGACUUGGUCGGUUUGGACUUGGAGGUGUUGCUGGCGUGCGUCGGCUCCUCUUAAUUGCAUUAGCUGGACUUUGGUUCGCAUUUGACGGUGUAAUAGUAAAGUGUUCGCCGGGCGUGCUUGCCUAACGGGUCUGCUUCUAAUCGUCUUCGGACAACUCUGUUCAUUUUGACCUUUGACCUCAAAUCAGGUAGGACUACCCGCUGAACUUAAGCAUAUCAAUAA
rnacentral:rRNA from 1 species